AGUGGCGGACGGGUGAGUAACGCGUGGGUAACCUGCCCUGUACAGGGGGACAACAGCCGGAAACGGCUGCUAAUACCGCAUAAGCCCGCGGCGCCGCAUGGCGCUGCGGGGAAAACUCCGGUGGUACAGGAUGGGCCCGCGUCUGAUUAGCUAGUUGGCGGGGUAACGGCCCACCAAGGCAGCGAUCAGUAGCCGGCUUGAGAGAGUGGACGGCCACAUUGGGACUGAGACACGGCCCAGACUCCUACGGGAGGCAGCAG
rnacentral:rRNA from 1 species